rnacentral:rRNA from 1 species
UGGGGAAUAUUGCACAAUGGGGGAAAGCCCUGAUGCAGCAACGCCGCGUGAAGGAUGAAGGUUUUCGGAUCGUAAACUUCUAUCAACAGGGACGAAACAAAUGACGGUACCUGAAUAAGAAGCCCCGGCUAACUACGUGCCAGCAGCCGCGGUAAUACGUAGGGGGCAAGCGUUAUCCGGAAUUACUGGGUGUAAAGGGAGCGUAGGCGGCACGUCAAGCCAGAUGUGAAAGCCCGGGGCUUAACCCCGUGGAUUGCAUUUGGAACUGGCGAGCUAGAGUACAGGAGAGGAAAGCGGAAUUCCUAGUGUAGCGGUGAAAUGCGUAGAUAUUAGGAAGAACACCAGUGGCGAAGGCGGCUUUCUGGACUGAAACUGACGCUGAGGCUCGAAAGCGUGGGGAGCAAACAGGAUUAGAUACC